rnacentral:tRNA from 1 species
GCGGGAAUGGCGGAACUGGUAGACGCACACGUUUCAGGGGCGUGCGCCCUUACGGGCAUGCGAGUUCGACUCUCGCUUCCCGCACCC